rnacentral:rRNA from 1 species
UACAGAGGGUGCUAGCGUUAAUCGGAAUUACUGGGCGUAAAGGGUGUGUAGGUGGUUAAAGUAAGUCAGAUGUGAAAACCCCGGGCUUAACCUGGGAAAGUCGUUUGAUACUGCUUAGCUAGAGUACUAUAGAGGACAGUGGAAUUUCCAGUGUAGCGGUGAAAUGCGUAGAUAUUGGAAGGAACACCAGUGGCGAAGGCGACUGUCUGGAUAGAUACUGACACUGAAACACGAAAGCAUGGGUAGCAAACAGGAUUAGAAACCCCCAGUAGU